GUUUAUCUUGGUGGAAAUUGGUGAAUCGUCAUUCACCUACCUUCAAAUAUUUUAUAGCUUGGAUUACGGCAUACCUCUUCUAAGUUAUAAAAUAGUUUGUUGGGUCCUAGCCUUAAUAUUUCAUAUUGGGUGUUAUAUUAAGGACUUAAGAUCAACUAUCUUGAAUAUCUCCCAAAAGAUGUCUGGUUUAGACAUUUAUGAUCUUCCUAAAUCUCUUGAAACAAGCUUUCCUUAAUGAAGAUGAUGUCCCAUGGAAAUCAUACUUCUUUCACCUCCUCCAAUUAUUCUCCCCAACCCACAAGUUCUUGAAAAGUUUAAGGUCACUCAGGCCCUAUUGGCAGGGCAAGGACUAGGUAUGGUCACAUCUUGGAGAUGUAGUCACAUAUUGACAAGCCGGGAAAGUUGGGUGUCAAAGUCUUGAGAAAGUUGGUGGUUCAAUAACUUUUUGAGUUACAUAGUGAGUUCCUUUGGGACACCUAUGAAAAAGACUAUGACAAGACCCUUAACGAUCUUAUCUAUUUGUUAAGAUCAACUUCCUUAAAACUUUAUGGACACUAACAAUGAUGACAUUGGAUAUUUAGUAAAGCUUUCUCUUCCCAAUGGAAAGGGAUCGGCCAUAGUCAACUCGGUUGACCAAAUGGUAAAGAGAAAAGCUAAGUCUGUGAUAGUCUCGUGUACCAUUAUCAAAGGGUCCAUAUGUUUAUAUUGCCAAAGGAAGGGGCAUUGGUUGCGAAGCUGCCAAAUUUACCUAAGGAUGUUAAAGUCAAUAAGUUUGACUCUACUUCAGGUAAAGUCCACUAUCUAACUCUGUUAAGUUUCUAUUCUGAGAUUCUUGAUACAUGAUGUGACUGGGUCACAUGGUGAUGUUUUAAGAAUCAAAGAAAAGUGAAGAAACUUAAAGAAAGAAUAUGCUGAAUCUGAUCGCGUAGAUGGAUUUCUAUCGCAUAGUUUGAAGAUCGGAUUCUUGAGCUACUUCUUAAGAGUUAUGAGAUAUUGCUUAGGAAUAUAUAAUAACAAAGUUUUCAUGUGCUUUUGCACUGUAAGGAUAAGUUUUUUCCGCAAAGUUUUAAAAUGAAAGAAAAUUUUUGUGAAUUUAUUUAUUUUAAAAUAUCCUUACAAUGGCAAUUCAGGGAAAAAUGUUGCUUAUAUGAUUCCAUUAAUAGCAAAAGUGGAAAUAUGAAAUUGAUUCUUUCAUUUGUGGUAAUGUCUAAAUUUACCAAAUAAGGAAAGAUUCUCAUCACCCAAGUUUCAAUUGGACCGGAACUUGGAAUCAUGCAAGUUGUAUAGCAUGAUGAAUGAGAACUUUCAAGUAUUGGAAAAUUAAGACUAAUUACUUGUUCACAUGGAUGUGUGAGUCAAGUAAAGGACUUAGGGAUCGAGUACACAUUCUUGUGCACUGGUUAAGUCCACCACUAAAGAUCGUUAAGAAGAAUCAAAUUAGGCAGAAGGAUAAAAGUUUCUCAUAUCUGAAAAGAUGGGAGAGUACUUUAGUAUCAGUUUUGAGAUCAUCUUAAUGAUUAAGAAACCAUAUCAAAAUUAGUUCUCUAAGGAAAUCUUAGUGCAUUCUUAUGACUAAGAAGAGGGAACUUGAAUUGUUGAAAUGGUUAAAUCAAGAAGAUGAGUCAUACUUCGUUCCAAAACAAUUUUUAGAGUCAUACUCCAAGAUUGUAACUUGAGUGACAUGUCUUAAAGAAGGUUUAAAACACUUGUCAAAUGUAAGAGUAAAAGUUUUCUACUCUUGUACAUUUGAAAUUGGUAAGUUGUGAUGUUUUGGAUAAAACAAAGACCAACUUAGGCCAAUUGGGUAAAGUGUUUUUCUUGAUUAGAAUCCGCACUAUCUCUUGGAUGUUUGACAAGGGAGUCUUAUAUGUCAAGAGGACAGUGGGAGUCUUAAAGGUCUUGAAAGUCUCAAGAACUAAUCAAGAAUAAAACCUGAAGUUCUUCACUAGCACACGACUUGAGGUUUAUAACCUAUCGUGUUGACAUAUUCUGUGCCCAUUCCAGUUAAAGUUGGCUUUGCAUAUGAGUUCUUAGAGUUCUCAAUUUGUUGCACAACAACUUGGAAGCAAUGGCAGGCCCUUGAGCUGCCAGGUGGCAAGAAAUUAAGAUUGAGUUCAGUCCAUAUGAGUUUGGAUUUGUCAUUAUCCUUGUCUUGUGACUAUGGUUUUGACAAUUCACAUGGAUAAGAACACAUACACCAUUAAAUCUAAGUGUCAUAAGGUUUCUCUCCGAUUCAUGAAAAUGAUGGUGAGGAAACACUUUCACUAAGUAGAUUUUAGCUAGAUAGCAAUUGUGAUAUUUGCAUUCUCAAAGUCGUUAGUGGAGCGUGUGUGGUUUACCGGCACACUAACCUGGACUUGUGAGAAGUGGCAAAAAGGUCUAACCAUUAUGAUUACGGCAUCCCUCUUCAUAAUUGUUUAGACACACAAGUGUGCUAUCUAAGGGAAGGUGUAUGAUUUUGAUAAAGUUUUAUCAAAACAAUCUAGUAUCAGAAAUCUGAACUUUGGUAAGAAAGUCAAUGAAGUAUUGAUUUCUAGAAGUCCAGCUGAUUUCUGAGUACAUGUCAAAGCUAGUGGGAGCAUAAGUGUUAUGCUAAUAAUCAUCAUGUUAGUGGGAGCAUGAUAAUUAUGAUAAGUAUUGCAAGUUAGCAAUGUUAAUUAUAGAAAACAAAAGUUUCAAUUGGGAAAAAGUUGUUUUGCUAUAAUUAAGGGAGAGGAAAUUAUACUUCAUCUCAAAUCUAUAAGCUUAGAUCGUGAGGUUUUAAUCAUUUAGUCAAGGAUAUAUAUGAAUUUCAUGUUGGAAUGGCUCAACAUAAGGAAAUUCUGUAUAUGGGUCCAUUAUUUGCGUUCUAAAAUUCGAUUAUGAUUACGGCAUCCCUUUUCAUAAUCUGAAUUAUGAGAACUUGGCAAAUUGAAAUGGAAAUAUUAUAGCAAAAGACUGGUUUAGUCUUUAUGUGAGACAUCAUGAAUCGUGUCCCAUAUGCUUCGGAUAUAGGAUCGAUUACAUGUGCUAUAUUCAUCCGUUCUAAAAUUUUCCAAAUGCCUGGGGCAUUAAGAAGGGAAAAGGUUUAGAACUGGAUAUGACUAAAAGGAUUAAACAAUUGUCGAGGACAAUCUAAGGUUUACCAAAGAUUGGUUGCUCAAGGACAGUUGGAAGUAUAGUGAUAAUUCUGGAAGGACCAUAUUGACAUAAUCUGUAAGGAGGCAACUCUUGUUCAGAAGUGAUAGUCAAAAUGGAAUCUGGAAAUGUUUCAAAGUUAGAAUUUUCAAUCUGUUUAAGAUUAGGAAACUUAAUGCAAGAAGGAUGUUUCCAAGGAGCUGAUCUCCUUUGGAAUACUCUGUAAUGAUUGUUGUCAAGUCUUUCUGACUUUGUGCAUAAUCAUUACAAGAGGAUCAAUGCAUAUAAGUUUAGAAUCUAACAGAUUUCAGUAAAUGGCAUGAAUUUGGAAUUCUUGCAUUUGCAGUAAGGAUUUGGGAGUGUGAAAAGAGAAUCAUUGAAGUUAUGUUCAAUUGAUCUAGUUCACAAAGUAAAGAUCAUAGACAAACAUAGUAUGCAUACUUGGUGUGUGGCAUGACUAGUGUUUAAGAAAACAUAGUGUACAUGCUUGGAGCAUGGGACAACUAUUGUUUUAAAUUCAAGAAUAAAGUUGAUAGCUGAAACAGUAUACAAUGAAUAAUGUGUAAUCAUAUGGUGAUAAAUAAAAGGUGUUUUAUUUAUGUUCAUAAGUUUUGAUACCAUAUUGGAUUCAAUUAUUAUUGUGUUUCACUUUGCAUGUUUUGACUUCCCGAAUAAACUAGGUUAUUCUUCCGGAAUGACUAAGUUAUUCAAACCAUCCACAGUCGGUCAUAUGUUGGAAGUAGAUAUGAAUUAAGACUGUCAUGGGUUGGCUUGUAGAGGUCUAAGGUGUUGGACAAAGGGCUACAACACUCAUGAGUGCUCAUAAGUUCUGAGUAUUGGAUUCAACCCGCGCUCAUUGGAAUCACUUCAUGGAUUUUAUCACGAGUGAUCAUGAGACGAUAAUAUCUUAUAUUCUUCAAACCUAGAGAUAUGAGUUGUUACUAUGAGUUGAUAGUACAUUGAUUGCACGAAAACGCAUUUGGUAACUCGGUGCUAUAAAACGUGCCUUUGUGUAUGAUUCAACAAGUAGUAGAACAAGCCAUAUGAGUCGAAGUUUAUCCAUUCCUUUUACCUUCGGGAUAAAAGCGAUAUCUGUGGGCCCCUCGAUGAUUUGAUGAUGACAAAUGGAAGUGCUCGGCCGGGCCAGGACUGAUUUGAUUUGUUCAAUUAGUCAGUCGUCAUAAAUCGGAAAUCGGGAAACAACAAAUGGACAGAGAGAAUGAUUAUAAUCCAUGUCUCAGUCCAUAUGAUAUCUAGAAUGGAGGAAUAUAUGAUCCCUUAUCUAAUGGACAAGUCAUUGACAAAGGUCAGAGUUCAUCUACAAGGUCAGAGUUCGACAGAAGCUUUUGAGAGCUACGAUUGCCAGUUGGUUCCUGAAGUCAUACGCAAUAAUAGUUUUAGACUUAUCCAAGUGGGAGACUGUUGGAUUAAUGUCUAAGUCCAUAACUAUAAUUGGCAAGACUUGACCGGACCCGGCAUGGUCCAUUUGGGUUGCAUACCAUCAUGCAUUUGGAUAGACUAUAAUGAGAGAAAUAAGACACUUAUGGUUAUUAAUAUAUUAUAAGUUCUAGUAUAUUAAUAAUAAGAAUAAUAAGAUUAUUUAAUUAGUAUUGAUCAAGAAUUAAUCUAGGAUUAAUUAAGUGAUCAAAAGAAGACUAAUUAAAUAUAUGGGUUGAUUGUGUAAAUCAUCCAUACUUGUAUAGUGGGCUAAUGCUCCAUGGAUAAUCAAGUUGGGCUAAAACCCAUAGGAUGGUCCAUGGAUGCUCCAUGGUGUAUUUGUACCCAUGGAUCAUGGAAAUGAAAGGCCAUGUCAAUUAGGGUUUACAUGAUGUAACCCUAACUAUAUAAGCAUCUUAUUCUUGACCAAAUCGGCCACUAGAGUGAGAGUAAGAAAGGGCUAGCCGAUUUCUUGAGUUGUAGAAUUCUCUCAAGUUAUUCUAAGUGUUUUGGUGAUUGUGAUUCCAUUUGAGGCUUCCACACUAUUGGGGCUAGGCACUCAAGCUUCAUGAAGACUUUCUACAUCAAAGAGCUAUGUAUUCUAUCUUGUUACACUCAUUGUUUUUGUAUGCUAGAUUAGGAUUAUACCUUGGAUGUUCUUAUUUGUAUGUAUAAUAGAGAAAACAUAGAUCCAAGGUAUUUAGGGUUGCAUGUACACUUAGGAGUGUUAGAAUGCUUAAAACCCAACAUCAGUUGCUUCUACUGCAGGGGAAAGAAUCGCUAUGCAAAGGAUUGUGUGCUGAAGAAGAUGGAUGAGAAGGAUGAGGAGAAAGAUGAAAAGUCAAUUCUUAUGAAAAAAGCUGGAGGAGAGUAAAAGGAAGAAAGCUACUACUAAUCCCUCUAUGAAUGCUCUUAUUGUGCAGGGUUCGGCAGAUGAUGACGAGUUCGGUGGCGUACAGGUAUGGUCGACCGAUUCAGAAGACGAUUGGGUGAGAAAGCCUUCGCAUGGAAAGGCUUAUGUUGCAAAAGAUGAUGAAACCAACGGAAGAUGUCUGACGUAUCUCAGAUGAGGGGAUAUAAUACUGAUGCUGGAAAUGACGAGGCCAAGGAGCGAAAGGACUUAUGCUUUACAGCAAACCUCUCAGUGUGCAGAUCAGUGAACUUGAUGAACUGAUCAAAAAGUUACAAUCUGUUUUUAUUUCGUUUAAAAUUCCACAAAAAUCAUAUGAAAAGGAAUUAAAUAACUUGAAUUCAAGACUUUCAAAUCUAGAUAAUUGUUUAACUCAAACUCGAGUCAUAAAUUCUAAUCUGACUGACCAAAUAAGCAGGGUGUCAUCCAAGAGUGAGGAGCAAAGGAUGUGGAUUGAGCAGAAGGAGUCGGAGGUAAUUAAGUCUAGGGAUGAAAAAAUUUAUUUACAAAGAGACAAUUUGAAAUUGUUAAAACAAAGGAAUGUUUUUUGUUUGAUCGCUAAAAGACUUUAUGCUAACAUUACUCAACUGCAUCUAAAUUGUGAAAUAGGGCAGAAGAUACAUCGCAUGAUUCUACCCUUCCUUGAGUUUAAGGAGGAUGAAAUCGAUGCCGAAGCAUACAACUGUGAAAGUGUUUUAUCUUCCGAUGAUGUCAAUCCCACUUAUAUGUAUGGUCUGGACAAAAUAGAAUCUUUUAUAAAGUCCAAAGACCAUAAGGACAUGCUUAAAAAUCUUUUGGAUGAAAACGAUAAGCUGAAACUCAGGACCGAAACCAUACAAAAAUUCGACUCAUUGAGUGCCAAUUUAAGUUCAGAAAAAAAAAAUUGAUGUUGAAAAUGCAUCUGAACUUGAUGAGGAUGAUGAUAUGAGUGAAAUUUCUAUAGAGGUUGAAGUCGACUGUUGUGAGUUUGUCAAGAGCGAACCGGAAAACCACAAAAAUCUGAUUUCUAAAAACUCUGUGGAAUUCGCUCGUUUGUCUAAAACUAAGUCCCCAUCCCUUAAAGAAAAGGCCGUUGUAUUUCAGAAGGUUAGAACCACUCCCAAUCAGGUGUAUAAGCUUACAGGAGUAACUGAACAUCAAACAGCCGAACUUACUGCCAUAGUGAAUGAAGACAAUGCAGACGGCUGUGAUGAGUUCUUCUGGUCAGCUCCUAUAGACAAUGCAGACGAAACGGUUGGUCUGUCGGAGCAAACAUCUUGGAAGACCAAAUGAAGAUAUGUGCCGGAACCGCUGAAUAAGCCUACCAACUUUGACGUACCUGGUACACGUGGAAAAGAAGAAAUACCUGUAGAAGAAGUCACCUCCACAAGCGAAUCCUCAUCUAUGAAAAGUGAACCAACUAUCAAGAAGCUAAAACAAAAAGCCAAUAUCCACAGACAACCGAAACAGGUGAAAAUCAAAAGCUGCAGAGAAAUCUUAGAAAGAAAAAGAAUCUCUCAGAGCGAAAGCAGUUUUGGCACUCUCAAAAUCCUCAUUACUCUUACCAUGAUAAAGAUUCUAAGUCAGAGAGAAAGAUUUUCGGGCCACAUGAAGCACAGAACCGAAAGGAUAGGUUAGGUCCCGAAACCAGCAGCAACCGAAAAGCGAGUUUCGGUCCGCCAAGUAAUAACAGGCAAAGACCUAAUUUCAGUCCUUGAAGCUUAAACAACAACCAAAAAUCCAACUUCGGCUCAUCAUCGAGCAGCUACCGAAGGUCUAGGUUCGGUCCCUCUAAUGACCAUGAACAAAAAGGUCAUUUCAAACCUCAAGUCAGGAAAAACUCUCAUUCUAAAUUCUCUUUUUCUAAUUCUUCUCAUUCUAAACUCUCUUCUAAACCCAAUUCAGUCUCCACACAAAAUUCAAGAUCAUCAACGAACUUGACCGGAAAAAUGAAGAUUUCCUCAGUCGAGAAGAACUGAAAGCAGUCUAGUGCUCAAACACCAGAAUCUGAAUCCAAAACACCUGUAGCUAAUUCUAACAAAAUCAAAGUGUUUACUAUUAAAAGAAAAGAUGAAACAACCUUAGUUAAACGCACAUAUCUUGUUGACAUUUCUCUUACUAUUCCUGUUCCUGUGAAAGGCUCACGUGAACCCAAGAAACUUUGGGUUCCUAAAUCUGCUUAGUUUUUGCAGGUUAUCAGUGACGAGCAGUUCGACGAAGAAUGGUACAUUGACAGUGGCUGCUCACGUCACAUGACAGGAAGGAAGGAAGAGCUAAGGGAGUUUCGAUCUCUUCAAGAUGGUGGCAAUGUCAAGUUCGGUAACAACUCCUAUGGAACGAUAAAGGGUUAUGGGAUGAUAACCAAUGGAGACUUCACAAUAAGAAAGGUGGCGUACGUAGAAGGGUUGAAGCAUAAUCUCAUCAGUGUAUCUCAACUGGUUGGAGGUACCGGUCUUAAAGUUUCAUUCGACGAUGAAGGUUCAAAGAUUAUAGAAAAGAAAUCCAACAAAGUCAUUCUCAAAUCAGAUGGAAAAGGCGAAAUGUUUCCUCUGAAUCUCAGACCAAUCAAAGGAAAUCUAGCCAUAUGUCUUUUGUCCAAAGCUCAUUCUGACGAAAGCUGGUUGUGGCACCGAAGGCUCUCACAUCUCAACUUCAAAGACAUCAACAAGCUUGUCACUGGAGGUCAUGUUCGGGGUCUUCCAUUGCUCAAGUUUGAUCGAGAACACUUGUGCGCUGCAUGCGAAAUGGGGAAACAAAGUCGUCAAAGUCACCCAUCAAUUAUAAACACAAAAGUUGUUGAACCACUUGAGUUGCUUCACAUCGACUUGUGUGGUCCAUCAUCAAUCGAGAGCAUUGGCGGUAGCAAGUACAUUCUUGUUGUUAUUGACGACUUCUCAUGUUUUACAUGGGUAUUCUUUCUGAAGCACAAAUCUGAGGCCACUCCUAAGCUAAAGAUGUUUAUCAAGCAGGUUGAAGUGCAACUGAGAAAAGUCGUUCGAAACAUUAGGAGCGACAAUGGACUGGAAUUCAAGAACAAAUAAUUCGAAGACUUUUUGGCAGAAAAAGGAACUAGUCAUAACUUCUCAGCCCCUUACACGCCUCAACAGAAUGGUAUUGUCAAAAUUCGAAACCGAUCCUUGUGUGAGGUGGCCCGAACUAUGCUAAGUUUUGCUUCUCUUCCCUUAUAUUUCUGGGCUGAUGCUAUUGCUGCAUCAUGUUUUACGCAGAACAGGUCUUAUCUCAAUAAGCGUUUCUCUCUCACUCCUUAUGAGAUCAUCAAUAACAGGAAGCCGAACGUAAAAUUCUUCCAUGUGUUCGGUUCACGGUGCUUCAUCUUCAACUCCAAAGAACAUCAUAACAAGUUUGAUGUUAAAGCUGACGAAGGAAUUUUUCUGCGAUAUUCUCUUAUUUCAAAAGCAUACCGGGUUUUAAAUAAGCAUUCUAGAAAGAUUGAAGAAACCUAUUAUGUGACUUUUGAUGACAGCUACGUCAAGAAGCUAAAGACUACUGAAGAAGCUAUUGGAGAGAUUUUUUCUCAAAUAGGUCAAGUCGCAGCCACAAUUGCUAAUCUAUUUGAUCAAUUCGUUGAUUUGUUCGAUGAACCUGAGAAAGCCAUUCUAUCAGAAGCCAAGGCGGUACACAACAAAAUCGAUCAUCUGAAGCAAAUUGUCAAUGAUGCAGCCAAACAAAUGCGAGAAGGAGAACAAGUUCAAAACGAACCUCCUCAAGACGACACUUCAGUUGAGGGGGAGAACCUAAUUUCUUCAAAUCAACCAAACUCACACUUUCAGGGGGAGAAUUCCAUUCCAGCUACACCCGAAAGUCCUGUAUCACCCGAAAGCCCAGCUACACCCGAAAGUCCAGUAGCACCCGAAAGUCCGGCUACACCUGAAAGUUUUGUUGCACCCGAUGGUCCGAACCAACCUGAAAAUCCAAAUGAUUCAUCAUCAGUCGAGUGGGAGAAUUCCGAUAUGUUCUAUGAUGACGAUAGUCAAUCUGAAUUGGAAAAAAUGGUCAACGCCGAAUUGGAUCUAUCCUAUGAUCCAAACUAUCCUCCCCUCAUUAAAUGGACCAAAUAUCAUCCUGUAUCUCAAAUAGUGGGUAAUGUAUCUGAAAAGGUCCUGACUGGAUCCCAAGUGAAGGAAAAGCAAACCUCCCUAUUUUUCAACGUAGAGUUCUGCAUGUAUAAUUCCUUUGUAUCCAAAAUUGAGCUAAAGACCGUCAAUACUGCUCUUGAUCAUUCUGAUUGGGUUCAGGCUAUGCAAGAUGAACUCAAUGAAUUUGAAAGAAAUAAGGUCUGGCGUCUCAUUCCAACACCAAAAGAUGCCUCAGUCGUUGGUCUCAAAUGGGUAUUUAGAAACAAAAUGGACAAGGAGGGUAAUGUGAUUCGAAAUAAAGCUCGUCUCGUGGGGAAAGGAUACUUUCAGAAAGAAGGAAUUGAUUAUGAAUAUUUCUUGCCUACGCUGCACACAAGCUCGUCUCCGGUAGCAAGGCUGGAAUCUAUUCGAAUAUUUCUUGCCUACGCUGCACACAAGAACUUCGAGGUCUAUCAAAUGGAUGUGAAAUGCGCCUUUCCGAAUGGAGAACAUGAAGAAACGAUUUACAUGGAGCAACCUCCAGGUUUUGUGAAUGAAAAGCAUCCAAAUCACUAUUACAUUCUAGAAAAGGCAGUUUAUGCUCUAAAACAAGCGCCUAGGGCAUCGUAUGAAAUGCUAACUAAGUUCUUAAAGAUGUCUAAAUUCAAACAAGGUUCGGUUGACCUAACCUUCUUUCGAAAGAAGGAAGGUAACCACCUUAUGAUAGUUCAAAUCUAUGUCGAUGAUAUCAUCUUUGGCUCAACGAAUCCUAGCUUAACAGCUGAAUUCACAAAGCUGAUGGAGACUAAAUUUGAAAUGAGCUCAAUGGAUCCGAUUACCUUUUUCCUUGGUUUAAACAUUAGACAGCGACCCGAAGGCAUCUUUAUCAACCAGGAAGCAUACACCAAGACUCUUCUUGCUAAAUUUGGCAUGAUAGGAGAUUCAAAGGUCAAAGNCAAUAAUAGUUUUAGACUUAUCCAAGUGGGAGACUGUUGGAUUAAUGUCUAAGUCCAUAACUAUAAUUGGUAAGACUUGACCCGACCCGGCAUGGUCCAUUUGGGUUGCAUGGCAUCAUGCAUUUGGAAAGACUAUAAUGAGAGAAAUAAGACCUUAUGGUUAUUAAUUUAUUAUAAGUUCUAGUAUAUUAAUAAUAAGAAUAAUAAGAUUAUUUAAUUAGUAUUGAUCAAGAAUUAAUCUAGGAUUAAUUAAGUGAUCAAAAGAAGACUAAUUAAAUAUAUGGGUUGAUUGUGUAAAUCAUCCAUACUUGUAUAGUGGGCUAAUGCUCCAUGGAUAAUUGAACCCAUGGAUCCAAGGAAAUGGAAAGUCAUGACAAUUAGGGUUUACCCUAAUUGUAACACUAUAUAAAGAUCUUAUUCUUGACAAAAUCGGCCACCUAAGGAUCAUUCUAGAGAGGGCUAGCCGAUUUUCAUGAGUGUAGAAUUCUCUCAAGUUAUUCCAAGUGUAUUUGGUGUUGUGUGAACCAUUUGAGGUGUCACACUUGGGGCACUAGGCACUCAAGCUUCAUGAAGACUUUCUACAUCAAAGAGGUAUGUAUUCUAUCUUGUUANNNNNNNNNNNNNNNNNNNNNNNNNNNNNNNNNNNNNNNNNNNNNNNNNNNNNNNNNNNNNNNNNNNNNNNNNNNNNNNNNNNNNNNNNNNNNNNNNNNNNNNNNNNNNNNNNNNNNNNNNNNNNNNNNNNNNNNNNNNNNNNNNNNNNNNNNNNNNNNNNNNNNNNNNNNNNNNNNNNNNNNNNNNNNNNNNNNNNNNNNNNNNNNNNNNNNNNNNNNNNNNNNNNNNNNNNNNNNNNNNNNNNNNNNNNNNNNNNNNNNNNNNNNNNNNNNNNNNNNNNNNNNNNNNNNNNNNNNNNNNNNNNNNNNNNNNNNNNNUUUUUUGGCUAGAAAUGGACUACUAGGAACAUUACCAUAAGCUGUUUUUGGACUAAACAUGUUUUUGAUGUGGUAAUGUUCAUGCUAAUCCAAUUUCAAAGAUAAUUGUCAAUAGAUUCAUGUUUCGUAUUAGUUUAAGACUUAGACUAAUUACAUGAAAAAGUUUGCUUUGAAUUAUCUUGUUCUUAUGAGUUGCUUAGAUUAAUAGAAAAGUUGAGUGAAAUAUUGUUUUCAAUCCAAAUUAAUCGAUCAGAUGAUUCUAAAAUGUGUUUUUGUAACUUGUCCUCAAGUUAUAUGAAAAGUCACAUUUAAGAAUCAUAAAACUCAUAAAAAUUGGCAAAGGUUACAAAAAUGAAGAGUCUAGUUCUAAUUAAAUGGUUUUAUGACUCCAUAACUUGUCCUCAAGUUAUGGAGGACCAAGAGUCUCUUCAUUUAAUAAAAUAAAAAAAAAAAAAAAAAAGUGUAACCUUAAUUAAUUCCAUAAGUUAUAAAAUAAAGAAAAGUUAAUUCUUUUAUUAGUUUAAAGUCUUCCAUAACUUGUCCUCAAGUUAUGGAACUUGAAGAGUUUUUGGAUUAAAACUACUUUAAACACAUAAGUUAUGGAAUUAAUUAGUUUUGAAUAGUUUCAAAACUUGCCCUCAAGUUUUGGAAUUUGUAAAGUUUUCACUUAUGAAUACUUUAAUUCCAAGUUAGCCCUUAGAAUUUUAAAAGUUAAAAUUCAACCCUUAUACUUUAUAAUAUUAUAAGUUAAUAAUAUAUAUAUGUAUAAGAGUAAAGUCAGUCUUACCGCUAGUACGCCUCAUUCACGAAGCCGGUCUAUAAGGUGGGUAUAAGGUUGUUGCCUAUAAAAUGGCAACUUAAUGGGUGUCCACUCUCACCCACCGCUUGCUUGACUGGUGGAGGGUCGUUAGCCGAACGGGUUUGACAGGACUAGAAUUCUCCCUUCAUUAAAAGUAUUAAUGAUAAAUACUAAGUAACUAAACUGUUAAUAAUACUCAAUCUUAGUUACUUAGCAAAAUGUGAAUAAGGUGUAAUCCAUGAAAUUAUCACUUUGCACUUUGUUUAAGUCGGUUAGUGGAGCGUGUGUGGUUAACCGGCACACUAACUCGUAUUUAACAAGGUAGGCAAAGGGUAACUUAAUGUUUAUCAUAGUAUCGAUGGAGCGUGUGUGGUUAACCGGCACAUCGAUUGAGGGGUAAACACUUAAGGGUACCAAGUAAUUUGCAUGGUUACUUCACACCUUGUUUUGUGAUCCUCGGCAUCCCAGUCACAAAACCUGAAGGGCACACUCGAGAUUGAAACAUGCCAUUGAACAGUUCAAUGAAUCUCAAAGAUCUAGGAGUUUCAAAACCAAUUAAAACCUAAUAAUACAUUUCGUUUAUCUUGGUGGAAAUUGGUGAAUCGUCAUUCACCUACCUUCAAAUAUUUUAUAGCUUGGAUUACGGCAUACCUCUUCUAAGUUAUAAAAUAGUUUGUUGGGUCCUAGCCUUAAUAUUUCAUAUUGGGUGUCAUAUUAAGGACUUUAAAUCAACUAUCUUGAAUAUCUCCCAAAAGAUGUCUGGUUUAGACAUUUAUGAUCUUCCCAAAUCUCUUGAAACAAGGUUUCCUAAAUGAAGAUGAUGUCCCAUGGAAAUCAUACUUCUUUCACCUCUUCAAAUUAUUCUCCCUAACCCACAAGUUCUUGAAAAGUUUAAGGUCACUCAUGCCCUAUUGGCAAGCAAAUGUCUAUGUGUGAUCACAUCUUAGAGAUGUAGUCACAUAUUCACAAGCCGGGAGAGUUGGGUGUCAAAGUCUUGAGAAAGUUGGUGGCUCAACUACUUCCUAAGUCUCAUAGUGAGUUCCUUUGGGAUACCUAUGAAACAGACUAUGACAAGACCCUUAAUGAUCUUAUCUAUUUGUUAAGAUCAACUUCCUUAAAACUUGAUGGACAUUGACAAUAGUGACACAGGAAAUCCAGAAAAGCAUUCUCUUCCCAAUGGAAAGGGAUCGGCCAUAGUCAACUCGGUUGACCAAAUGGUAAAGAGAAAAGCUAAGUCUGUGAUAGUCCCGUGUACCAUUAUCAAAGGGUCCAUAUGUUUAUAUUGCCAAAGGAAGGGGCAUUGGUUGCGAAGCUGCCAAAUUUACCUAAGGAUGUUAAAGUCAAUAAGUUUGACUCUACUUCAGGUAAAGUCCACUAUCUAACUCUGUUAAGUUUCUAUUCUGAGAUUCCUGAUACAUGAUGUGACUGGGUCACAUGGUGAUGUUUUAAGAAUCUAAGAAAAGUGAAUAAACUUAAAGAAAGAAUAUGUUGAAUCUGAUCGCAUAGAUGGAUUUUUAUCGCGUAGUUUGAAGAUCGGAUUCUUGAGCUACUUCUUAGGAGUUAUGAGAUACUGCUUAGGAAUAGAUAACAACAAGUUUUCAUAUAGAUUGUAAUGAUAAGUUUUCCACAAAGUUUAAAAUAAAAAGGAAAAUUUUGAUUUCUUUUNUUGAGGAAAAAUUGUUGCUUAUAUGAUUCCAUUAAGAGCAAGAGUGGAAAUAUGAAGUUGAUUCUUUCAUUUGUGGUAAUGUCUAUAUUUACCAAAUAAGGAAAGAUUCUCAUCACCCAAGUUUCAGUUGGACCAAAACAUGGAAUCAUGCAAGUAGCAUAGCAUGAUGAAUGAGAACUUUCAAGUAUUGGAAAAAUUAAGACUAAUUACUCGGUCACAUGGAUGUGUGAGUCAAGUAAAGGACUAAGGGAUCGAAUGCACAUUAUUGUGCACUAAUUAAGUCCACCACAAAAGAUUGAUAAGACUAUUUGUCAUAGUUUACUAAAGCUCAGUGAAUAUGGUUAUACUUACAAGCUUAAUUGUAAUUCUGAGACAUUGGAAAAGGUUCCAAUGUAAGGCAGAGCGAAUAAGAAGAAUCAAAUUAGGCAGAAGGAUAGAAGUUUAUCAAAUCUGAAAAGAUUGGAGAGUAUUUUCGUAUCAGUUUUAUGAUCAUUUUAAUGAUUUCGAGACCUUAUCACAAUACAUCCUCUAAGUGCUUUCUUAUAGCUAAGAAGAGGAACUACGAAUUGUUGAAGUGGUUAAAUCAAGAAGAUGAUUCAUACUUCGUUCCAAAAACAAUUCUUAGAGUCAUACUCCAAGAUUGUAACUUGAGUGACAUGUCUCAAAGAAGGUUUAAAACACUUCUCAAAUGUAAGAGUAAAAGUUUUCUACUCUUGUACAUUUGAAAUUGGUAAGUUGUGAUGUUUUGGAUAAAACAAAGACCAACUUAGGCCAAUUGUGUGAAGUGUUUGUCUUGAUAAGAAUCCACACUAUCCCUUGAAUAUUUGACAAGAAAGUCUUAUAGGCCAAUAGGACAGUGGGAGUCUUAAAGGUCUUGAAAGUCUCAAGAACUAAUCAAGAAUAAAACCUGAAGUUCUUCACUAGCACACGACUUGAGGUUUAUAACCUAUCGUGUUGACAUAUUCCGUGCCUAUUCUAGUUAAAGUUGGCAUUGCAUAUGAGUUCUUAGUGUUCUCAAUGUGUUGCGCAACAACUUGGAAGCAAUGGCAGGCCCUUGAGCUGCCAGGUGGCAAGAAGUUAAGAUUGAGUUCAAUCCAUAUGAGGUUGGAUUUGUCAUUAUCCUUGUCUUGUGACUAUGGGUUUGACAAUUCACAUGGAUAAGAACACAUACACCAAUAAAUCUAAGUGUCAUAAGGUUUCUCUCUGAUUCUUGAAAAUGAUGGUGAGGAAACACUUUCACUAAGUAGAUUUUAGCUAGAUAGCAAUUGUGAUAUUUUCAUUCUCAAAGUCGUUA
rnacentral:lncRNA from 1 species